GAUUAACGCUGGCGGCAUGCCUAAUACAUGCAAGUCGAACGGCCGUAGCAAUACGGCAGCGGCAGACGGGAGAGUAACACGUGGGAACGCGCCCUUCGGUUCGGGAUAACCCAGGGAAACUUGGGCUAAUACCGGAUACGCCCUUACGGGGAAAGAUUUAUUGCCGAAGGAACGGCCCGCGUCCGAUUAGCUAGUUGGUGAGGUAAUGGCUCACCAAGGCGACGAUCGGUAGCUGGUCUGAGAGGAUGACCAGCCUCACUGGGACUGAGACACGGCCCAGACUCCUACGGGAGGCAGCAGUGGGGAAUAUUGGACAAUGGGCGCAAGCCUGAUCCAGCCAUGCCGCGUGGGUGAUGAAGGCCCUAGGGUUGUAAAGCCCUUUCAGCGGGGAAGAUAAUGACGGUACCCGCAGAAGAAGCCCCGGCUAACUUCGUGCCAGCAGCCGCCGUAAUAC
rnacentral:rRNA from 1 species